rnacentral:misc_RNA from 1 species
GCUUGCCCUAACAAUCAUCUUCCAAACACCUGUGCACAUUUUUGAGGGAGUCUUGAGUUGGUUGCCGCUCUUGGGUGAUUUUCUCACAUUCCCUUAAACCAUUAUACGCUAUUAACAAUGUUGAACGUGCUCUGUGCCGCAAGGCUAUUAAUAUAAUACAACUUUUAACAACGGAUCUCUUGGCUCUCGCAUCGAUGAAGAACGCAGCGAAAUGCGAUAAGUAAUGCGAAUUGCAGAAUUCACCGAAUCAUCCAAUCUUUGAACGCACCUUGCGCUCCCUGGUAUUCCGGGGAGCACGCCUGUUCGAGUGUCGCGAAAUUUCUCAAGCUUGGAUGGAUUUUUUGUCCGUC